AACGUAGGACGCAAGCGUUAUCCGGAGUUACUGGGCGUAAAGCGCGGGCAGGCGGUGCUUUAAGUCUGAGGUGAAAGCGCCCGGCUCAACCGGGCGAGGCCCUUGGACACUGGGGCACUGGAGGGCAGGAGAGGCAGGCGGAAUUCCGGGUGGAGUGGUGAAAUGCGUAGAGAUCCGGAGGAACACCAGAGGCGAAGGCGGCCUGCUGGGCUGCACCUGACGCUGAGCCGCGAAAGCCAGGGGAGCGAACGGG
rnacentral:rRNA from 1 species